UUUGGUCGCAAAAAAAUCUCAUUUGGCGACCAAAUUUUAAUUAGUCGCGAAUGAUCAUUAUUUUUGGCGACCAAAUAUUAUUGGUCGCAGAAAGUUAUAUUUUGGCGACCAAAAAAUGAGUUGGUCGUAGAAAGUGGUAUGCAUUUGCCAACCAACUACAAAUUUAGUCGCGAAAGGUCACAUAUUUUUUGGCGACCAAAAAUUUGGUCGCCAAAAACUUAUUUUCAGCAACAAAAAAAAAUUAGUCGCCAAAUUAAUAUUUUUAGCAACUAAUAUUUUAGUCACCAUUGAUUGAGAUUUGGCGACUAAAAAAAUUAGUCGUUAUAUAUUUGAGAUUUUGCGACAAAAAACGAAUUUAGUCGUUAAAGGCGAAAUUUUUUUAGAGGGAAAUCUCGCGCCCACCCCUGUUCUCUGUUUACAAUUACACACAACAUUUUGUUCAAAUUCUCCUCCACCGCCAAACCUCACCCCAUCGCCACAGAUCGCCACAUCUACAUCGUCGAUGAUCCUCCUCCUUCUCCUCUGCCUGUGCCUCCGCCGAAUCCGAGAAGAAAGUCGAGAUCUGAAUCUGAUUUGAGUCCUAGGCUGAGAUCUGACCGUCGUGAGCGAUCCACAACGACACAAUGGCUUCCAAAUCCUACAACAAGAUCAUCGAUAUCUACGACGACCUCAUCCUUCAGAGCUUCAAGCAGUUCGAUUUCGUCUAAAGGUUGGACUUGUUGUGUAUGAUUCACAAGUUCCGAUUGGUGCCACUCCUGAAUAUAUGGCUGGUUAUUACAUGG